AAACUAACAAGGAUUCCCCUAGUAACGGCGAGUGAACCGGGAAGAGCUCAAAUUUGAAAUCUGGCGUGCUCAGUGCGUCCGAGUUGUAAUCUAUAGAGUCGUUUUCCGUGCCGGACUGUGUCCAAGUCCCUUGGAACAGGGUAUCAAAGAGGGUGAUAAUCCCGUACUUGACACAAUGACCGGUGCUCUGUGAUACGUCUUCUACGAGUCGAGUUGUUUGGGAAUGCAGCUCAAAAUGGGUGGUGAGUUCCAUCUAAAGCUAAAUAUUGGCGAGAGACCGAUAGCGAACAAGUACCGUGAGGGAAAGAUGAAAAGCACUUUGGAAAGAGAGUUAAACAGUACGUGAAAUUGUUAAAAGGGAAACGAUUGAAGUCAGUCGUGACUGAGAGGCUCAGCCGGUUCUGCCGGUGUAUUCCCCUCAGUCGGGUCAACAUCAGUUUUGUUCGGUGGAUAAGGGCAGUUGGAAGGUGGCACCCUCGGGUGUGUUAUAGCCAGCUGUCGCAUACAUCGGAUGAGACUGAGGAAUGCAGCUCGCCUUUAUGGCCGGGGUUCGCCCACGUCGAGCUUAG
rnacentral:rRNA from 1 species